GGGGUACACGAGCGGCGAACGGGUGAGUAACACGUGGGUGACCUGCCCUCAGCUCUGGGAUAAGCCUGGGAAACCGGGUCUAAUACCGGAUACGACCAGCUACCGCAUGGUGGUUGGUGGAAAGUUUUUUCGGCUGGGGAUGGGCCCGCGGCCUAUCAGCUUGUUGGUGGGGUGAUGGCCUACCAAGGCGGUGACGGGUAGCCGGCCUGAGAGGGCGACCGGCCACACUGGGACUGAGACACGGCCCAGACUCCUACGGGAGGCAGCAGUGGGGAAUAUUGCGCAAUGGGCGGAAGCCUGACGCAGCGACGCCGCGUGGGGGAUGACGGCCUUCGGGUUGUAAACCUCUUUCGCCAGGGACGAAGCUUUUGUGACGGUACCUGGAGAAGAAGCACCGGCCAACUACGUGCCAGCAGCCGCGGUAACACGUAGGGUGCGAGCGUUGUCCGGAAUUAUUGGGCGUAAAGAGCUCGUAGGCGGUGUGUCGCGUCGGCCGUGAAAACUUGGGGCUUAACUCUGAGCGUGCGGUCGAUACGGGCAUCACUUGAGUUCGGCAGGGGAGACUGGAAUUCCUGGUGUAGCGGUGAAAUGCGCAGAUAUCAGGAGGAACACCGGUGGCGAAGGCGGGUCUCUGGGCCGAUACUGACGCUGAGGAGCGAAAGCAUGGGGAGCGAACAGGAUUAGAUACCCUGGUAGUCCAUGCCGUAAACGUUGGGCGCUAGGUGUGGGGACCAUUCCACGGUUUCUGUGCCGCAGCUAACGCAUUAAGCGCCCCGCCUGGGGAGUACGGCCGCAAGGCUAAAACUCAAAGGAAUUGACGGGGGCCCGCACAAGCGGCGGAGCAUGUGGAUUAAUUUCGAUGCAACGCGAAGAACCUUACCUGGGUUUGACAUGCACAGGAUUGCGGCAGAGAUGUCGUUUCCCUUGUGGCCUGUG
rnacentral:rRNA from 1 species